GCCAUCCAAUUCGUGUACGUGUGGAGUUCUUGAUCUAUUUUAACCUCGUAGUGGAUCUCUGAGACAGACAUCUCAUGGUCCAUAUGUUGCAGGAAUCUAUCACACAACAACUUGACAGGCUCAAUUCCUGAUGACCUUUCACAGUUACCUUCACUAUUAAUUCUAGAUUUGAUAGGCAACCAGCUCAGUGGAUCAAUUCCCCCUGGACUUCUCAAAAGAAUUAAAGAUGAUUCCCGAAAUCUAAGGUAUGGCAAUAAUCCAAACCUAUGCACCAACGCCGAUUCAUGUCAGACUCAGACCACGAAAGGGUGAAGCAAGCUAGCCGUCUACAUUGCUAUCGCUGUAGUUCUGGUCGUGGUGAUACUAUCAGUGGUAGUACUGCUCUUCUGCUUGCAGCGACGAAAAAAGCAAGGAUCAAACAGCAACUCUGUGAAGCCUCAAUGAGAUGACGAGCCAUGUGCAGAGCUCGCUGCAACUUGAGAACCGUCGGUUCACGUACGGGGAAUUAGAGGUCAUCACGAACAACUUCCAGCGAGUGCUCGGCCGGGGCGGCUUCGGGUACGUCUACGAUGGCUUCUUGGAGGAUGGUACCCAGGUGGCGAUCAAGCUGCGGUCUGAAUCUUCCAAUCAGGGCGUCAAGGAGUUCCUCGCAGAGGUACGAUUUAUUCAGAUGCAGUUUAUGUUUCGAGCAAUAAAUUUGCAUCAAGAAAUGUUGAGAAAAAAA